rnacentral:rRNA from 1 species
AAGCAUCUAAGCAUGAAGCCCCCCUCAAGAUGAGACUUCCCAUUCUUCGGAAGUAAGAUCCCUGAGAGACGAUCAGGUAGAUAGGUUAGAGGUGGAAGCRUGGCGACAYGUGGAGCUGACUAAUACUAAUCGAUCGAGGACUUAACCUAAG